AGAGUUUGAUCCUGGCUCAGGACGAACGCUGGCGGCGCGCCUAACACAUGCAAGUCGAACGAGAGAGAGGGAGCUUGCUUCCUCAAUCGAGUGGCGAACGGGUGAGUAACGCGUGAGGAACCUGCCUCAAAGAGGGGGACAACAGUUGGAAACGACUGCUAAUACCGCAUAAGCCCACGGCUCGGCAUCGAGCAGAGGGAAAAGGAGCAAUCCGCUUUGAGAUGGCCUCGCGUCCGAUUAGCUAGUUGGUGAGGUAACGGCCCACCAAGGCGACGAUCGGUAGCCGGACUGAGAGGUUGAACGGCCACAUUGGGACUGAGACACGGCCCAGACUCCUACGGGAGGCAGCAGUGGGGAAUAUUGCACAAUGGGGGAAACCCUGAUGCAGCGACGCCGCGUGGAGGAAGAAGGUCUUCGGAUUGUAAACUCCUGUUGUUGAGGAAGAUAAUGACGGUACUCAACAAGGAAGUGACGGCUAACUACGUGCCAGCAGCCGCGGUAAAACGUAGGUCACAAGCGUUGUCCGGAAUUACUGGGUGUAAAGGGAGCGCAGGCGGGAGAACAAGUUGGAAGUGAAAUCCAUGGGCUCAACCCAUGAACUGCUUUCAAAACUGUUUUUCUUGAGUAGUGCAGAGGUAGGCGGAAUUCCCGGUGUAGCGGUGGAAUGCGUAGAUAUCGGGAGGAACACCAGUGGCGAAGGCGGCCUACUGGGCACCAACUGACGCUGAGGCUCGAAAGUGUGGGUAGCAAACAGGAUUAGAUACCCUGGUAGUCCACACCGUAAACGAUGAUUACUAGGUGUUGGAGGAUUGACCCCUUCAGUGCCGCAGUUAACACAAUAAGUAAUCCACCUGGGGAGUACGACCGCAAGGUUGAAACUCAAAGGAAUUGACGGGGGCCCGCACAAGCAGUGGAGUAUGUGGUUUAAUUCGACGCAACGCGAAGAACCUUACCAAGUCUUGACAU
rnacentral:rRNA from 1 species